rnacentral:lncRNA from 1 species
GCUUCUUUUUUGCAUACUAAUACUUCAUUGGAUAUGUUGAUUAUGGGAGCUUUACGUAUUCCAAUUAAUGGCCAUUAAGGCCAUUGGUGAUUUCUUAUAAACUAAUACUUCAUUGGAUAUGUUGAUUAUCAUUAUGGGAGCUUUACGUAUUCUAAUUGAUGGCCAUUAAGGCCAUUGGUGAUUUCUUUUAGACUAGUUACAUCUUUAAGUAAUAAGAAGAGCUUAAGUUGUUCAUUGUCUUUCAUAGCUCUCGGGGUGUGUGGAGGUGAUUGGAGUAGGGAAGGUUUGUCUGAAAUCACUGUGGGUGCUUACUCAUUAGCAUAUGUAGCAAACCUUUUCUGUUCUUCUAAACUACUAGACUUUUACGCAGCUGAUUCGGCCGUAGAAUGGUUGGUUUGCUAAAUUAGUUUAGUUGGAUAUUAAUUGUACCUCCUUCUUCUUUUUUCUUUUAUCUGUAUCUUCGUAAUUUCAUCUGUCCUGUUUUCAUCUCAUUUGUAUGUUGAGUUCGUUUUUCACCUUGUGCUGAUUGCUCUUAACACUUGAUCAAUGUGCUUUUUCAUGCAAAGUCCAUGUAAAAUGUUUGCCAUACUUGAUUGUUUUUUUACCCUUAACUGUAUACAGGGAGAUCUCGACACUUCUUGCACGAUCCUUUUUUCUGAGAGCAUCAUUGUCUGCAUGUAGAUAUUAAUUUAAUGUCAACACUAAACUUUUACCAAGUAAAGCCUCUGCUAAAUAAAUUAUACAGAAGAAAAUCAUUCCUCAAAUAAAUUCUAAGCAUUUAAGUAACACUUGAUCAAUGUGCUUUUUCAUGCAAAGUCCAUGUAAAAUGUUUGCCAUGCUUGAUUGUUUUUUACCCUUAACUGUAUACAGGGAGAUCUCGACACUUCUUGCACGAUCAUUUUUUAUGGGAUUUUCCUUGACAGUAUUGGCUUUGCUCGCCCGAAUAAGAGUUCUAGUUCAGCAAGUAAGUAUUCUCAGGAUAGUUUUAUCAUUUUCAAGUAAGUAAAAUUUGAUCAUUUUAAAUGCUCUUUUCUUAGUCUUACUUAUAAUAGUAGAGGUUGCCGGCCCAACUUGUGUGCUAAGGCGUUGUUGUUGUUGUUGUACUUAUAAUAGUAAAGGUCCUGCACAUCGAUUGUGUUCUUUCAAAUUUUCAAUUUGUUGAAGUUAUUGUUUCUAGUUUAAUACACUGGAGUCAUGAUAAUUUCUGGAACUUAUUUAAUUGGAGUAACUGAUCUAAUUCAAGAGUCUAGGGGAAUGGGAAUCAUGAAAUAACAUGAGAAUUUU